ACUUGUAGAGAGAAAGAAUUGUUAUGAAUGCAAGGGCAGAAAAUAAACAUGCAAUGGGUCGAUUCAAUUGACAAAAGAAAAAGCUAUGGAUGAAUGGAGUUGUUGGGGGUCGACAAUUUCAUCUUAUUCGCUCCCUCUUAUCUACUCCUCUUGUUUAAUGUGCUUGAUUAUCUAAUUGUUAUGCAAACUUUCUUGGCCUACCCUUAACCUGAUCCCUCGGCGAAAAGAGCCUAUUACUAAUUACCGGCUUGCUAUCCCUAGCCUCCC
rnacentral:lncRNA from 1 species